rnacentral:rRNA from 1 species
UACAGAGGGUGCGAGCGUUAAUCGGAAUUACUGGGCGUAAAGCGUGCGUAGACGGUUUUGUAAGUCGGAUGUGAAAUCCCCGGGCUCAACCUGGGAACUGCAUUUGUGACUGCAAGGCUAGAGUACGGUAGAGGGGGAUGGAAUUCCGCGUGUAGCAGUGAAAUGCGUAGAUAUGCGGAGGAACACCGAUGGCGAAGGCAAUCCCCUGGACCUGUACUGACGCUCAUGCACGAAAGCGUGGGGAGCAAACAGG